CACGCCAUAAACGAUGAGUGCUAGGUGUUGGGGGUCAAACCUCGGUGCCGCAGUUAACGCAUUAAGCACUCCGCCUGGGGAGUACGUUCGCAAGAAUAAAACUCAAAGGAAUUGACGGGGACCCGCACAAGCAGCGGAGCAUGUGGUUUAAUUCGAAGCAACGCGAAGAACCUUACCAGGGCUUGACAUCCUCGGACGACACUAGAGAUAGUGUUUUCUCUUCGGAGACUGAGAGACAGGUGG
rnacentral:rRNA from 1 species